UGGGGAUCUGGUUAGGAAGGUAUUCUAACCAAGGCAAGAGCGUGAUUGAGCCUUGGAUCAUUUUCAGUUGGCAUUGGAGAGCAAUUGGAGGCUUAAUUUGAGGAUUGAAGCUUCAUGGAGCUUGAAUUCGGAACC